AAAAGCUUAGUUGAGUUGAGUUGCAUCCUAACCAGCACUAAAAGAUCUUGUUUCUAAUGGUGUUUAACUCAGUUUUCUCAUUGUGUAACUAUCCUUAUUUUGUGGGGUAAGAUUUGAUUUCAAAUAAAUGCCAAAGUCAUUUGAGGUUUGGCUUAUUGCUCUUCAUUCCUUUUGAAAAUUCUUUAUGUUGGUAUUUGGAUUUUAUAAAAUUUGACUUUUUGGUUGUUUUAUAAAUCAUUGGGACCUGUUCCGGGCUCAUUUUUAGCUACUAGAGCAAAAUGAUGUUUUAUAUAAAACCUGAUGAAUCAAAUUGU
rnacentral:misc_RNA from 1 species